GCCCGCUUAGCUCAGUGGUAGAGCGCGUCACUUGUACAGGACAGUUCAGUCCUUAGGAAAUGAUGAGGUCGGUUGUUCAAUCCAGCCAGUGGGCA
rnacentral:tRNA from 1 species